rnacentral:rRNA from 1 species
CAGAACGAACGCUGGCGGCAUGCCUAACACAUGCAAGUCGAACGAACCCUUCGGGGUUAGUGGCGCACGGGUGCGUAACGCGUGGGAAUCUGCCCUUUGCUUCGGAAUAACAGUUAGAAAUGACUGCUAAUACCGGAUAAUGUCGCAAGACCAAAGAUUUAUCGGCAAAGGAUGAGCCCGCGUAAGAUUAGCUAGUUGGUGGGGUAAUGGCCUACCAAGGCGACGAUCUUUAGCUGGUCUGAGAGGAUGAUCAGCCACACUGGGACUGAGACACGGCCCAGACUCCUACGGGAGGCAGCAGUGGGGAAUAUUGGACAAUGGGCGAAAGCCUGAUCCAGCAAUGCCGCGUGAGUGAUGAAGGCCUUAGGGUUGUAAAGCUCUUUUACCAGGGAUGAUAAUGACAGUACCUGGAGAAUAAGCUCCGGCUAACUCCGUG